GACGAACGCUGGCGGCGUGCUUAACACAUGCAGGUCGAACGGUGAAGCGCCUUCCUUUUGGUGGGUGUGGAUGAGUGGCGAACGGGUGAGUAACACGUGAGUAACCUGCCCCCUUCUUCUGGAUAACCGCAUGAAAGUGUGGCUAAUACGGGAUAUUCUGGGUCUGUCGCAUGGCGGGUCUGGGAAAGAUGCGCCUUUGGGUGUUUUCGGUGGGGGAUGGGCUCGCGGCCUAUCAGCUUGUUGGUGGGGUGAUGGCCUACCAAUGCUGUGACUGGUAGCUCGCUUGAUAUGGUGGACGGUUACACUGGUACUGAGA
rnacentral:rRNA from 1 species